GACGAACGCUGGCGGCGUGCUUAACACAUGUAAGUCGAACGGUAAGGCCCUUCGGGGUACACGAGUGGCGAACGGGUGAGCAACACGUGGGUGAUCUGCCCUGCACUUCGGGAUAAGCCUGGGAAACUGGGUCUAAUACCGGAUAGGACUACUGCCUGCAUGGGUGGUGGUGGAAAGCUUUUGCGGUGUGGGAUGGGCCCGCGGCCUAUCAGCUUGUUGGUGGGGUGAUGGCCUACCAAGGCGACGACGGGUAGCCGGCCUGAGAGGGUGACCGGCCACACUGGGACUGAGAUACGGCCCAGACUCCUACGGGAGGCAGCAGUGGGGAAUAUUGCGCAAUGGGCGCAAGCCUGAUGCAGCGACGCCGCGUGAGGGAUGACGGCCUUCGGGUUGUAAACCUCUUUCAGCACCGACGAAGCGCAAGUGACGGUAGGUGCAGAAGAAGGACCGGCCAACUACGUGCCAGCCGCCGCAGUAA
rnacentral:rRNA from 1 species